rnacentral:rRNA from 2 species
CCCUAGUAACUGCGAGUGAAGCGGGAAAAGCUCAAAUUUAAAAUCUGGUAGCCUUCGGUUGCCCGAGUUGUAGUCUGGAGAAGCGUUUUCCGCGCUGGACCGUGUACAAGUCUCUUGGAACAGAGCGUCAUAGAGGGUGAGAAUCCCGUCUUUGACACGGACUACCAGUGCUUUGUGAUGCGCUCUCAAAGAGUCGAGUUGUUUGGGAAUGCAGCUCAAAAUGGGUGGUAAAUUCCAUCUAAAGCUAAAUAUUGGCGAGAGACCGAUAGCGAACAAGUACCGUGAGGGAAAGAUGAAAAGCACUUUGGAAAGAGAGUUAAACAGUACGUGAAAUUGCUGAAAGGGAAACGCUUGAAGUCAGUCGCGUCUUCUAGUACUCAGCCUUCCUUUUGGUUGGUGCAUUUACUAGUCGACGGGCCAGCAUCAGUUUUGGCUGCGGGAUAAAGGUCAGAGGAAUGUGGCACCCUCGGGUGUGUUAUAGCCUUUGGUCAUAUACCGUGGCUGGGACUGAGGAUCUCAGCAUGCCUUUAUGGCGGGGGUUCGCCCACCUUCAUGCUUAGGAUGCUGGCGUAAUGGCUUUAAACGACCCGUCUUGAAACACGGACCAAGGAGUCUAACAUGCCUGCGAGUGUUUGGGUGGUAAACCCGAGCGCGUAAUGAAAGUGAAAGUUGGGAUCUCUGUCGUGGAGAGCACCGACGCCCGGACCAGACCUUCUGUGACGGCUCCGCGGUAGAGCAUGUAUGUUGGGACCCGAAAGAUGGUGAACUAUGCCUGAAUAGGGUGAAGCCAGAGGAAACUCUGGUGGAGGCUCGUAGCGAUUCUGACGUGCAAAUCGAUCGUCAAAUUUGGGUAUAGGGGCGAAAGACUAAUCGAA